GACGAACGCUGGCGGCGUGCCUAACACAUGCAAGUCGAACGGAAGCAGAGAUUUCGGUUUCUGCUUUAGUGGCGAACGGGUGAGUAACGCGUGAGAAACCUGCCUCUCAGUGGGGGACAACAGUUGGAAACGACUGCUAAUACCGCAUAACACUUUAGUACCGCAUGGUACAGAAGUCAAAGCUUAAUGUGCUGAGAGAUGGUCUCGCGUCUGAUUAGCUAGAUGGUGAGGUAACGGCUCACCAUGGCGACGAUCAGUAGCCGGUCUGAGAGGAUGAACGGCCACAUUGGGACUGAGAUACGGCCCAGACUCCUACGGGAGGCAGCAGUGGGGAAUAUUGGGCAAUGGGGGAAACCCUGGACCCAGCAACGCCGCGUGAAGG
rnacentral:rRNA from 1 species